rnacentral:rRNA from 1 species
UACGUAGGUGACAAGCGUUGUCCGGAUUUACUGGGCGUAAAGAGCGCGCAGGCGGUCGUUCAAGUCGAGUGUGAAAGCCCCCGGCUCAACUGGGGAGGGUCAUUCGAUACUGAUCGACUCGAAGGCAGGAGAGGGAAGUGGAAUUCCCGGUGUAGUGGUGAUAUGCGUAGAUAUCGGGAGGAACACCUGUGGCGAAGGCGGCUUUCUGGGCCUUACCUGACGCUGAGACGCGAAAGCGUGGGGAGCGAACCGG